rnacentral:rRNA from 1 species
CGGACAGAAGGGAGCUUGCUCCCGGAUGUUAGCGGCGGACGGGUGAGUAACACGUGGGUAACCUGCCUGUAAGACUGGGAUAACUCCGGGAAACCGGAGCUAAUACCGGAUAGUUCCUUGAACCGCAUGGUUCAAGGAUGAAAGACGGUUUCGGCUGUCACUUACAGAUGGACCCGCGGCGCAUUAGCUAGUUGGUGAGGUAACGGCUCACCAAGGCGACGAUGCGUAGCCGACCUGAGAGGGUGAUCGGCCACACUGGGACUGAGACACGGCCCAGACUCCUACGGGAGGCAGCAGUAGGGAAUCUUCCGCAAUGGACGAAAGUCUGACGGAGCAACGCCGCGUGAGUGAUGAAGGUUUUCGGAUCGUAAAGCUCUGUUGUUAGGGAAGAACAAGUGCAAGAGUAACUGCUUGCACCUUGACGGUACCUAACCAGAAAGCCACGGCUAACUACGUGCCAGCAGCCGCGGUAAUACGUAGGUGGCAAGCGUUGUCCGGAAUUAUUGGGCGUAAAGGGCUCGCAGGCGGUUUCUUAAGUCUGAUGUGAAAGCCCCCGGCUCAACCGGGGAGGGUCAUUGGAAACUGGGAAACUUGAGUGCAGAAGAGGAGAGUGGAAUUCCACGUGUAGCGGUGAAAUGCGUAGAGAUGUGGAGGAACACCAGUGGCGAAGGCGACUCUCUGGUCUGUAACUGACGCUGAGGAGCGAAAGCGUGGGGAGCGAACAGGAUUAGAUACCCUGGUAGUCCACGCCGUAAACGAUGAGUGCUAAGUGUUAGGGGGUUUCCGCCCCUUAGUGCUGCAGCUAACGCAUUAAGCACUCCGCCUGGGGAGUACGGUCGCAAGACUGAAACUCAAAGGAAUUGACGGGGGCCCGCACAAGCGGUGGAGCAUGUGGUUUAAUUCGAAGCAACGCGAAGAACCUUACCAGGUCUUGACAUCCUCUGACAACCCUAGAGAUAGGGCUUUCCCUUCGGGGACAGAGUGACAGGUGGUGCAUGGUUGUCGUCAGCUCGUGUCGUGAGAUGUUGGGUUAAGUCCCGCAACGAGCGCAACCCUUGAUCUUAGUUGCCAGCAUUCAGUUGGGCACUCUAAGGUGACUGCCGGUGACAAACCGGAGGAAAGGNKGGGGAUGACGUCAAAUCAUCAUGCCCCUUAUGACCUGGG